AAUGGACGAAAGUCUGACGCAGCCAUGCCGCGUGCAGGAUGAAGGCCCUAUGGGUUGUAAACUGCUUUUGUACGGGAAAAAACCCUUCUACGUGUAGAAGGCUGAUAGUAUGGUAAGAAUAAGCACCGGCUAACUCCGUGCCAGCAGCCGCGGUAAUACGGAGGGUGCAAGCGUUAUNCGGAUUUAUUGGGUUUAAAGGGUCCGUAGGCGGCCCGUUAAGUCAGCGGUGAAAGCCCAAAGCUCAACUGUGGAAANGCCGUUGAUACUGGCGGUCUUGAGUACGUAUGAAGUUGGCGGAAUGUGUGGUGUAGCGGUGAAAUGCUUAGAGAUCACACAGAACACCGAUUGCGAAGGCAGCUGGCUAAUACGUAACUGACGCUGAGGGACGAAAGUGUGGGGAUCAAA
rnacentral:rRNA from 1 species